AAAUGGGAUUUUGGAGAGGAUAUUAGGUGCAUAUGUUUUAAUUUUUCAAAAACCAAAUAGGGAAACGAAGAUUGUGGAAAUCACCUUGAUGAAUUCACCAUGACCCUUGAAUUGAAUCAAUGGAAGCAAUUGAAAAUGAGAAGAUUAGGAACGAAAAGUAUAACCAAGCAUCUUUGAUUUUCAUCUCUAAUAGUAAUUUGGAGCUUCAUGAGAGUGUAGUGAGAGGAGGGAUAUGCUACUACGCAUGAGGAGGGAUCAUUUCAUGUCUUCAUUUGAUCCAAAACUUGAAGGAUUCAAGCGAAUUAGAAACAAGAGGUGUUGUGAGAGGAGAGAAAGGGCAUGGGAGAGAGAAAUGACAAGAAAAUUUUGGGGCUAAUUUUUAUCAUCCAUCCCUGAACUUUACCCUAUGUUUCAGUUCCGUUCAUUAACUUCAUUUUAUCACUAAAAAAUACCUAAACUUUAAGUUUAUCACACUAAAAAUCCCUAUCACUAAAUUCCAGUGAGAGCUCUGAUUUGAUGCUUAUGUGGCUAAUUACACGUUGUCAUUAAAAAAAAAAA
rnacentral:misc_RNA from 1 species